UCUGUAGAAAACAAACAAACAAUUAAGAUUUGAACUUUCCACCUGUAAGGAAACUGAGAUGGUUUCAGUGUCUUCAGUAUUACUCCCCUCUGUGCUUCUCUGACCUGUCUACAACUUUAUGACUUCAGUGCCUGAAGUUAUCUGAUGCUGCACUCCAGCUGCACCCAUCCCACUCACAGCAGAAGAUUGUUUUUAAUCUCACAUCUUCUUACACAACUUUCCUGGUCAUACAUUAUUCUGGAAUGAUUUAAUACUUUACCCCAGUCAGAAAUACACCCAGCCAAUUUCCUUUGGAAGCCUCAUUAAUGCAUCAGCUAUAUAGCUUCACAGUGAGAUUAGUUACCAGGAUUACUAGUCCUCAGAAGUGUUAAGAAAGUACAUUUUGUUCACUCCAUCAAGCUAACAAAUAUUUCUUAAUACUGAUUGAAAUAGAGGGCAAUGUUUCACCUCUAAAAGAAAUAUUUUCUAGCUUAUGAGAGUUGGCUUUUGAAGGAAAAAUACAUUGUACAUUGUAUGGUUGCUAAACAAUACUGAUUUAUCGGUAUUUUCUCAUGCCUUGUUGUGCAUAAGGGCUUAGGUCCUGUGUUGUUAUCUACGAAGCAGAAAUUAUAUAUGAAGAAUCCUCAUACUAAAUACGAGAUUUGAGAAAAGCAGAAGUUAAGAGUUGUUCAUUUCAAAGUUUAAUUAUUGAAGGUUAAGUAAGGCAUAGGUAUCUUAUUUCUGAAAAAUGUCAAACAAAAUUGGUGAUGUCUACCCUAUCAUAGACUUAAUCUGUAGAAAAUGUACUACUCACCAACUGUCUACGUUAGGGCUAUAUUCAGUCACAUCAUCCUGAAGAGACUGUGGGGAAUCCAUAUCUUCCCCAUUUCCAGAUGCACUGCAGAAAACAAAAAGCAUAACUGCUAAGUCAAGAAGAUAUUGGAAGACAUUUUGCCAAAUUGCCUGAUGAAUCAGUCAAUACUAGGAAGCAGUAUCUACAAUAGAACUGAAAUUAAUCUGAUUUGACACUGACUUUAAUUUUAUCAUUUUAUCUCUCUUGUAUAUUUUCAAAUGAGUGGUAAGAAGGAUGAGACCCAAAGGAUUUUAUUAUAUUUUCAAAAAUCUUUAGGAAA